CAGCCGCCGCGGUAAGACAGAGGAUUCAAGCGUUAUCCGGAAUGAUUGGGCGUAUAGCGAGCGCAGGCGGUUAGAUAAGUCUGAAGUUAAGGGCUGUGGCUUAACCAUAGUACGCUUUGGAAACUGUUUAACUUGAGUGCAGAAGAGGAGAGUGGAAUUCCACGUGUAGCGGUGAAAUGCGUAGAGAUGUGGAGGAACACCAGUGGCGAAGGCGACUCUCUGGUCUGUAACUGACGCUGAGGAGCGAAAGCGUGGGGAGCGAACAGGAUUAGAUACCCGCGUAGUCCCUGUCUCUUAUACA
rnacentral:rRNA from 1 species